rnacentral:rRNA from 1 species
GUGGGGCGGGGAUGCUUGCAUCCGCCGACGACCGGCGCACGGGUGCGGAACGCGUAUGGAACCUGCCCCUGUCAGGGGAAUAGCCCAGAGAAAUUUGGAUUAAUGCCCCAUGGUACCUUUAGGACACAUGUUCUUAAGGUCAAAGAUUUAUCGGGCAGGGAUGGCCAUGCGUACCAUUAGCUAGUUGGUAAGGUAACGGCUUACCAAGGCAACGAUGGUUAGGGGCCCUGAGAGGGGGAUCCCCCACACUGGUACUGAGACACGGACCAGACUCCUACGGGAGGCAGCAGUGAGGAAUAUUGGACAAUGGGCGGGAGCCUGAUCCAGCCAUGCCGCGUGCAGGAUGACGGCCCUAUGGGUUGUAAACUGCUUUUGUACGGGAAGAAACCUGUCCACGUGUGGACAGCUGACGGUACCGUAAGAAUAAGGACCGGCUAACUCCGUGCCAGCAGCCGCGGUAAUACGGAGGGUCCGAGCGUUAUCCGGAAUCAUUGGGUUUAAAGGGUCCGUAGGCGGGCCUAUAAGUCAGGGGUGAAAGGCCACGGCUCAACCGUGGGACUGCCCUUGAUACUGUAGGUUUUGAGUUAUGGUGGGGUUGCCGGAACAUGUGGUGUAGCGGUGAAAUGCAUAGAUAUCACAUAGAACACCGA